rnacentral:rRNA from 1 species
UACGGAGGGUGCAAGCGUUGUCCGGAAUCACUGGGCGUAAAGGGCGCGUAGGCGGCUCAUGAAGGCUGUGCUGAAAGUCCGGGGCUCAACCUCGGAUCGGCCGUGGCGACUCGUGGGCUGGAGCACUGUAGAGGCGGGUGGAAUUCCGGGUGUAGCGGUGGAAUGCGUAGAGAUCCGGAAGAACACCAGUGGCGAAGGCGGCCCGCUGGGCAGUGGCUGACGCUGAGGCGCGACAGCGUGGGGAGCAAACAGG